UGGGGAAUAUUGCACAAUGGGCGCAAGCCUGAUGCAGCCAUGCCGCGUGUAUGAAGAAGGCCUUCGGGUUGUAAAGUACUUUCAGCGAGGAGGAAGGCGUUGUGGUUAAUAACCGCAACGAUUGACGUUACUCGCAGAAGAAGCACCGGCUAACUCCGUGCCAGCAGCCGCGGUAAUACGGAGGGUGCAAGCGUUAAUCGGAAUUACUGGGCGUAAAGCGCACGCAGGCGGCCUGUCAAGUCGGAUGUGAAAUCCCCGGGCUCAACCUGGGAACUGCAUCCGAAACUGGCAGGCUAGAGUCUUGUAGAGGGGGGUAGAAUUCCAGGUGUAGCGGUGAAAUGCGUAGAGAUCUGGAGGAAUACCGGUGGCGAAGGCGGCCCCCUGGACAAAGACUGACGCUCAGGUGCGAAAGCGUGGGGAGCAAACA
rnacentral:rRNA from 1 species